GUUCUACAUAAGCUGGGUAAAGGAAAGGCGCAUGGCCCAGCAGCUUGCCGCAGUACAGCGAUUGCAUGUGGCAUGUGGCAAGUGGCAAGUGGCGUCGUAUGGCAUAUGUGGCAGAGAGCGCAGCUAAAGCUGUUGGCGGCCAUGACUUGGCAACAAGUGCCGCACACACACACACACAAUUUGUAAUACAGCUCAAGCUGCUUGCAACAUGAGUUGUGUGUUGUCUGUUGAAAGCCUACCCCAUCUGGAGCCCACGACUACAGGACAGACGGCAUGCCUUGUCAGCGGAUCCGGU
rnacentral:sRNA from 1 species